UUCCUGGGAAUCUUGCCUGCAGCCCGUUGAGAGAGGUGAAAGUGAGAGGAAGGAAAAAGAUUAAUGACAUAUUGCUUUCCCCAGCCACGUCUACAAAUGUCCAGAAUUUCUCACUUCAGCCUGUCAAGAGAGACCUUCUGUCACAAUGACUUGUACAACAAUCAACCUGUCAAGAGAGACCUUCUGUCACAACGACUUGUACAACAAUCAACCUGUCAAGAGAGACCUUCUGUCACAACAACUUGUACAACAAUCAACCUGUCAAGAGAGACCUUCUGUCACAACGACUUGUACAGCAAACAACCUCUCAAGAGAGACCUGUCACAAAGACUUACACAAAAACAACCUGUCAAGUGAAACCUUCUGUUACAAGGACAUGUACAACAAGCAACCUGUCAAUAGAGACCUGUCACAACUUGUACAACAAACAACCUGUCAAGAGAGACCUGUCACAAAGACUUACACAAAAACAACCUGUCAAGAAAGACCUGUCACAAAGACUUACACAAAAACAACUUGUCAAGAAAGAACUUUCAUUUGGUGAUUAAUUAUAAAUAUAGCAGGUAAACAAACUAAAUACAUGCACUCAUAAAUGAAUUGAUUUUUUCAAUUGGUCUAAAGAGCACAAAAUAUUAUCUCAGUUUCCUCUGCAAUGCUUUCUUUUAUCAGCAUGAAAUGGAGUAGGUACAAUAGUAUGUAAUGGAGUAGGUGUAUCAUUUAAGGGUAUAGAAUUUGUACUUUAUUUCUGUUGUCUAGAAACUAACACUAGGGAAUGACCACCAGUCUGAUGUCUUCUGUCUAUAUAUAGUGUAAAUAAACUCCAAAGUUAACAACUA